CUCAAUGAAUUUUAUAUAGCCGCAAUAUUGUGCUAAGGUAGCAUAAUCAUUUGUUUUUUAAUUAAAAACUAGAACGAAAGAUUUAACAUUUUAAUUUCUUUCUUACAUAUAAAAAUUUAACCUAUUUUAAAUAUUAAAAAAUAUUUAUUAAUUAAAAAGACGACAAGACCCUAUUGAACUUUACUAAAGUUUAACUGGGGUAGUUAAUUAAAUAUAAUUUUAAUUUAAAUUUUAUAAACACCUAAUAAAAUUAAAAUAAUCAAGUUACCAUAGGGAUAACAGCGUAAUAAAUUUCACAAGAUCUUAUUUAAAAAUUUGUUUACGACCUCGAUGUUGAAUUAAUAUUCUAUUAAAUGCAAUAAUUUAAUAAAGAAAGUCUGUUCGACUU
rnacentral:rRNA from 1 species